AGUCGAGCGGAAAGGCCCCUUCGGGGGUACUCGAGCGGCGAACGGGUGAGUAACACGUGAGCAACCUGCCCCUGACUCUGGGAUAAGCCCGGGAAACUGGGUCUAAUACCGGAUGUGACCAGCCUCCGCAUGGAGUGCUGGUGGAAAGUUUUUCGGUUGGGGAUGGGCUCGCGGCCUAUCAGCUUGUUGGUGGGGUGAUGGCCUACCAAGGCGACGACGGGUAACCGGCCUGAGAGGGCGACCGGUCACACUGGGACUGAGACACGGCCCAGACUCCUACGGGAGGCAGCAGUGGGGAAUAUUGCGCAAUGGGCGGAAGCCUGACGCAGCGACGCCGCGUGAGGGAUGACGGCCUUCGGGUUGUAAACCUCUUUCAGCAGGGACGAAGCUAACGUGACGGUACCUGCAGAAGAAGCGCCGGCUAACUACGUGCCAGCAGCC
rnacentral:rRNA from 1 species